AUAAGACUGAUCUUGACACACUGAGAGAGCAUGAAUCAUCAAAGAGAGAUCUAACUGUGAUUUGCUCUGUGGUGGAUAGCUAUGUGUUGCGUCUGCUCGGAAUAAACUACCAUCUUCUGAAACGACUGAUCUCUCUAUCGGGCAAGGACUUCUGUCACUUUUGGCUACUGAACAGCAACUCCUCAGAACUGCUCUAUUCCCACAGCCCUCAAAAAGUAGACCAGCCGCCUGUUCAUAUGUCCGGAUUAACUGAGGGAGGAGUGAGGGAGGAGAGAGGAAGACUGAGCACUUUAGUGUCUAAGCUCCUGUUAUAACAGGCUCUAUCCACCACUGCAUGCUGGAGUGAACAACAUAACAGUGAGAGAGAGAACUGCUACCUACCGUGCAGACACUUGGAGAGCCCUGUUUCCUGGUUGGACCCUGACUGACACAAUGAUGUUGGAAAGAAGAGGAGAACCAGUGGCACAAAACAAUGUCCUCCGACAAUUCUCACCUCCUGGUACUUGUGUACCCGCCUCCCUUUGAGUGGGGGCUGGCCUGGCAACUUGCUUCUAACUAACAGAAUAUGGCAAAAGUGACAGGAUGCCUUCUGUGAUGAGGCUACGAAAGAUGGGAUUUCUGUCUUGCUAGAAGAUUCUCUUGCUGGCUUUGAUGGAGUAAACGUCCAUGUCGCGAGCUGCCCCGUUGGAAAGGGCCUGUGCCAAGGAACUGAGGGCAGCCUCCAGCCAACAGCUAGCAGGGAACUGAGACCCUCAGGCCAACGAGCCUGGAGGAACUGAAUCCUGCCAACAAUCAACCAUGUAAGUGAGCUUGGAAGUGGAUCAUUUCCCAGUCAAGUCUUCAGAUGAGACUCCAGCCGUGGCUGACAUCUUGAUUGCAGCCUGUGAGAGCUCAUGAGCAGAGGUCCUGGCUAAGCUAUGCCUGAACCCCUGGCCCACAGAAAGUAUAAAAGAAUACAUAUUUAUUGUUUUAAGCUUGCUAAGUAUGUGAUAAUUGGUUAUAUAGAUAUAGAUAACUAACACCCAAGGGGCUAUACCACCUUGGGUGAGCCACUGAACCUCAAGGAGCCCGAGUUCCUCAUCUGUAAAAUGGGAUGCCAAUACCCACUUCUGCCAGGCAAUGCCUGCCUCUAGGCUCUGGUAACACCACCUCCUCCCUCUGUCCCCAGCCUAGGCGUGGGAGUGGUUUCCUGCUGUUGCUAAUCUCUUGUUGCCUCACAGAUGACUUCUCCGCAUUUCCCUCCCAUGUCUAAUGGAAUCUCCUGCAAUAAAUCCCCUCUGUUGUAGACA
rnacentral:lncRNA from 1 species